rnacentral:rRNA from 1 species
UCUACGGGAGGCAGCAGUGAGGAAUUUUCCGCAAUGGUCGCAAGACUGACGGAGCAACGCCGCGUGCAGGAGGACGCUUUUCGGAGUGUAAACUGCUUUUCUGUGGGACGAGCAAGGACGGUACCACAGGAAGAAGCCCCGGCUAACUACGUGCCAGCAGCCGCGGUAAUACGUAGGGGGCGAGCGUUGUCCGGAGUUACUGGGCGUAAAGGGCACGCAGGCGGUGCUGCGCGUUUCGCGUGACAGCGGGUGGCUUAACUGCCCGAGGAUGCGAAAGACGGCAGGACUUGAGGGCCAGAGAGGGACACGGAAUUCCGGGUGGAGUGGUGAAAUGCGUAGAGAUCCGGAGGAACACCGAAGGCGAAGGCAGUGUCCUGGCUGGUGACUGACGCUGAGGUGCGAAAGCCAGGGGAGCGAACGGGAUUAGAUACCCCGGUAGUCCUGGCCGUAAACGAUGACCACCAGGUGUGGGAGGUAUCGACCCCUUCCGUGCCGGAGUAAACACACUAAGUGGUCCGCCUGGGGAGUACGGUCGCAAGAUUAAAACUCAAAUGAAUUGACGGA